CAAAAGCAUGGUCCCGACUUUUCUGUCAGCUGUAGCUAAAAUUACACAUGCAAGCAUCCGCGCCCCCGUGAGGAUGCCCUCAAAACCCCAUGGUCUAGAGGGGCCGGUAUCAGGCACACAACUGUAGCCCAAGACGCCUUGCUUAGCCACACCCCCAAGGGCACCCAGCAGUGAUUAAUAUUAAACAUAAGCGAAAGCUUGAUUUAGUUAUAGCUAAGAGAGCCGGUUAAACUCGUGCCAGCCGCCGCGGUUAUACGAGAGGCCCUAGUUGACAUCAUCGGCGUAAAGCGUGAUUACAGGAUAUUAAAACUAAAGCCAAAAAAUCUCAAGGCUGUUAUACGUACAUAUUGAGACUAAUAGGCUCUUAAACGAAAGUAGCUUUAAACAAACACUUGGACUUCACGACAGCUGGGAAACAAACUGGGAUUAGAUACCCCACUAUGCCCAGUCGUAAACUUUGAUGGUAACAUACCUAUACCAUUCGCCAGGGGACUACGAGCGCAUUGCUUAAAACCCAACGGACCUGGCGGUGCCCCGCACUCCACCUAGAGGAGCCUGUUCUAUAACCGAUACUACCCGUUAAACCUCACCGCUUCUGGCUAUGCAGUCUAUAUACCGCCGUCGCAAGCUCGCCCCAUGAGGGAAAAACAGCAAGCAAAAUGGGUACAACCCAAAACGUCAGGUCGAGGUGUAGCAUAUGAAGCGGGAAGAGAUGGGCUACAUUUUCUGAAAAACAGAAUAUACGAAUUUAACUGUGAAACACAUUAUUUGAAGGAGGAUUUAGCAGUAAAAAGAAAUCAGAGCAUUCUUUUGAAGCCGGCUCCGGGGCGCGUACACACCGCCCGUCACUCUCUGCUAAACUUCCAAAACGCAACAAUAAUAAAUAAACAAAAUGCCACCAGCUCAGCGGAGACAAGUCGUAACACGGUAAGUGUACCGGAAGGUGCACUUGGAUCAAC
rnacentral:ncRNA from 1 species